rnacentral:rRNA from 1 species
UACGGAGGGUGCAAGCGUUAAUCGGAAUUACUGGGCGUAAAGCGUACGUAGGCGGUUGAUUAAGUCGGAUGUGAAAGCCCCGAGCUUAACCUGGGAAUUGCAUUUGAAACUGGUUAACUAGAGUGUUGUAGAGGGGAGUAGAAUUUCAUGUGUAGCGGUGAAAUGCGUAGAGAUCGGGAGGAAUACCGGAGGCGAAGGCAACCCCUUGG